rnacentral:misc_RNA from 1 species
GAUGAAGAACGUAGCAAAAUGCGAUACGUAAUGUGAAUUGCAGAAUUCAGUGAAUCAUCGAAUCUUUGAACGCAUAUUGCGCUCUCUGGUAUUCCGGAGAGCAUGCUUGUUUGAGUAUCAGUAAACACCUCAACUCCCUUUUCUUUUUUGAAAUGGGAGCUGGACUUGAGUGAUCCCAACACUUUUCUCACUGGAAAGUGGCGGGUCACUUGAAAUGCAGGUGCAGCUGGACUUUUCUCUGAGCUAUAAGCAUAUCUAUUUAGUCUGCCUAAAAAACAGAUUAUUACCUUUGCUGCAGCUAACAUAAAGGAGAUGAGUUCUUGUGCUGACUGAUGCAGGAUUCACAGAGACAGCUUUGCGGCUGACUUUGUAAACUCGAUCUCAAAUCAAGUAAGACUACCCGCUGAACUUAAGCAUAUCAAUAAGCGGAGGA